rnacentral:rRNA from 1 species
UACGUAGGGUGCAAGCGUUGUCCGGAAUUAUUGGGCGUAAAGAGCUCGUAGGCGGUCUGUCGCGUCGGCUGUGAAAUCUCGGGGCUCAACCCCGAGCCUGCAGUCGAUACGGGCAGACUAGAGUGCUGUAGGGGAGACUGGAAUUCCUGGUGUAGCGGUGAAAUGCGCAGAUAUCAGGAGGAACACCGGUGGCGAAGGCGGGUCUCUGGGCCGUAACUGACGCUGAGGAGCGAAAGCAUGGGGAGCGAACAGG